rnacentral:lncRNA from 1 species
UGGUCUUUCUUUUCCGUUUGUGGCUAGGGAUGAUCUUUUCAUUGUUAGUGACAGCGUUUGAAAACAUCAGGAAUGAUGAAGACAAAGGAUACAUAGGGGAGUGAAAUGGAGGAUAGAAUUGAUUCCACGGUUUUGCAAGUGGAUUAGAUCCUGAAGUCAGAUGUCCCCAGAUUACAUUGUGCUUUGUAGGCGCCGAGCUAGCCAAACAAAAUAAAAAGAACCCUGCCUGUGCUCUUGCCUAUGUAAUGUAUUCCUGUUUAGUUAACAGAAACACUGCUCUUCCGAAUUUCCAGGUUAAUCUUCAAUUUUGUAAUUACAGUAGUAAUUAGUGUAAAUUAGCAUAAUCAAUUGAGAAUUAAUUAACACACUUGAGAAUUAUUUAUUCAAGAAUUUAAAAUAUUAUAGUAUUCUACAUAAAUUAGCUAAAGAUGCUGAUUGAACCUGAAGUAUCGUGAAUUUUAGAAACCAUUCACCUUAGACAUACUAAAAUUUUACCUUUUAUUCCUUUAAGAGACAAAAGAGAGAUUAUUUUCAAAAAUUAUUUUGUCAUUCUAAAUCUACAUUUUCUUUCCUAGAUUCCAGGACAAUGAUUAAUGAUAAGAAUCAUAGCUAAAAAUAUUCACACUAAAAAUUAAUAGAAAUAGUAAAUAUUGUCUUAAUUACUUCAAAGAGAUGAGAUUAAAAGUGAUUCUCCGUUACUAGGGCAUACAUCCAUGUCAUAAUUCCAUUUAAGGUGGAAAUAGGGAUGCAGGUUAUGCAUCACAUUAAUGACAACACAGUAAACUAUUUGAUCUCAUUUAUUCAGGCUCUCAACACACACACCCCCCCAUUGAAUAUAAUUUAUUUCGUCUUUCUGUAUAGACUUUCUUCAGUUUGGCUAUAAGAUGAUUCCUAUCUAAAGAGAAACCCUCCUAUGUAAAGAAUCAGCACACCUUAAAAUUGCAUCUAGCCACCUUGAAACCUCUGCUAAAGAUGCAUGCCCCUCCUUGGUCUACUUGAAAAAGUGGGAGGGAUAGAUAGCAGAGGUGCUAAAUGCUGAGACUGAAUUUUUUUUUUUUUUUCCUGGCUGGGGAAAUGAGGAGGUCCCUUCCUGAUUUAUCCAGAAAAAAUAAUGUUAGCAUUCUGGAGAAAGAUGUUGGACACAGAAACCACGUAGGGAGAAUGAUGGGGAAAAAAACCCGAGAGCAGUGAGAGGCUUGACAUUCAUCACGAAAACCAGCCAGGUGGGCAAGGAGCAUGAGGAUUGGGGGGAGAGGGGGUUUCUAGUUGGGUCCUCCUUCCCCCUGCACCCAUCCUUUAAAUUAACAGGAAAACUGGCAUGGACUUGGAGAACAGACUUGUAGUUGCCAAGGGGGAGGGGGAGGGAGUGCGAGGGACUGGGAGUUUGGUAGAUGCAAACUGCUGCGUUUGGAGUGGCUGGGUGGUGAGAUCCUGCUGUAUAGCACAGGGACGUAUAUCCAAUCACUUGUGAUAGAACAUGAUGGGAGAUAAUAUGAGAAAAAGAAGGUACAUGUCUGUAUAACUGGGUCACUUUGCUGUACAGUGGAAAUUGACAGAACAUUGUAAAUCAACUAUAAUAACAUCUCUUUAAAAAAAACGCAUAAAUUGGGAGGCACUGAAGUCUGGAUCUUCCUUUCCAGGAUGUCCACCAGAAGAGAGAUGAAAGUGGAGAGUCAAAUGAGGCCAAUAGCUUGGGUUCGGAGCCUAGGUUUGGAUCCUAGCUUUACCACAUCCUCGCUUUGUGAUUUGAUCUCUUGGAGUCUUACCAUCUGUAAAAUGAGAAUAAUAAUAGCAUCUGACUCACAGAGUUAGUCUCAAAAUAAAAACAGCAAUAGCUAAAAUUUACUGAGCCUUUACUGUGUAUCUGGCCUUGUGCUAACCUCCUGACAUUUGCUGUCUUAAUCCUAUCGUUACUCUCUUUUUACAGAUGAGGAAACCAAAGCUUGGCAAGAUGAAUUCCCUUGUCCAGAGACAUUCAUCAAGGAGGCAGCAAGUGCUUGAUUAAGGGUAGUGUCAGACAGUGCAAGCAUCAAGGGUGAGAGGGUGCAAGCAUCACGGGGCCCUGAGGCAUGGCAGCUAUGACUACUCCCACAGAGCUCUCUGAAAGUGUGGUGACACCACAUGCGAUGGCAGGGCCAGAGGGAAGAAGGAACUUGCCAUUUACACUCUCGGGGUUGGGCAGCAGUGGAGAAGGGGACACUAGAACUUUGUACCAUGCCAUGGAAAUUGUCCUCUUUAAUGCAUUUCUCAAGUUUCCUUCUUCUGUUCUGAGAAAUAAAGCACUGGACUGAGGUUGAGGAAAAUUGUGUUCCAGCCCCAUGGUCAAGUACACCUUGAUUAUCUACUCAGGCAUACGUCAGCCCUGGGACAUCCUGGGAGCUUAGCGCACAGGGCAUGUCGCUACCUGAUUGAUCUUCUCCCAAGGGCAGGCGUCACUAGAGAUUACCUGAUCUGUGCUUGGGACACCCAAGUGGGCGCAGGAUGUGACAGAGGUUUCUGGGUCUCCCUUCAGCUCAGACAGUCCUGGACCUGGUGCAGACACAAAACCAAGAAUAGCAAUCAUAUUUUUAAGUUCCCUACAUUUUUAAAUUACUUUGAGAUCUUGACUAACCAAUUCAUCAGAGACAUCUAGAAAAAAAUCACUUUUAUACAUUGCAAUUAUUUGAAAUAAAUUGUAGAAUCCUACAUUUCUCAGCCCUUAUUUUGCCAUCGUUUUUUCUUCAGUGGCUGCCCCACAGAAAUUAGAGUGGGAAAAGGAUUUGCAUGAAGGUGGCAUGUCUCGUGUUUUAAACACAAUUACCGUAGCCAUCCUCCGAAUUAUUCUGUAGGGACCCUUCCGUUGAUGACCAAGGAAAUGCAGGGCACCAAGAUGAUGAUAUUUUCUUAUAUACCAAGAUGAUGUGUAGGGAUUUCAGAUGUGUAGCUCCUAUUAAAGUUGACAAGAGUUGUGCUGUUAAAAUCCCCUCGUGACAUUUUACAUUCUAUCCGGGGACGUCUGAAGAAGGUGCCGAAGGAUCAUCAAAACACCAGCAUCACUUUGAUAAACUUGUCACCAUGUAAAAUAAAAUACGUGAAUGUUUGCUUCUUUUCCUCUGAAAUAUAAAGUAAUUAUGACUAUACAAAAACCUUUUACCAUAACUAAUUAACUAGAAGCUCCUCAUAAACUAUGUGUCGACAGCACCGUAUGUCUAAUUAUCUUUUUUCGCUUCGGAAUUGUGAUGUUGAAUAAUGAAGAAAACACUACCUGAUGAAGUCUUUUACUUUAUGAGGAUAUCUCUGGAGACACAAAGGCUUAAAUGCCAUCUUCAAUUACAUCUUGGCCUUGGCAAGUUCUCAGCUGGUUUUGAUUUGCGUGGAAACCACAUUACCUUUAAAACUUUAUGGAAGGAAGGAAGGAAGGGAGGGAGGAAGGAAAGAAAGAAGGGAGGGAAGUAGGGAGGGAUGGAGAAAGGAAAGGCUUGUGAUAAUUAUUAAAAUGGGCCCUGCAGCUGUUUAAGCACUCCGUUCCUCCUAGCCAUGAGAGACCCUUUUCACAUGUAGGAAGUCAGGGCACAGCUGUAUACGUCCAGCCUAUUCUGUUGGGCAUUGUGGCUUGGGUUUUGCCAAUUCCAUUAAAAUGCCUCUUCUCUGCCUGCUCCAUAAUGAACCACUCUAACUAAUUCAAACCAGACAAGCAUGAACUUAUACGACAGAAACGGGAGGUCAAUUUGGGGGGGAGGUUUUGGCAUGUGUAUAAUUUUUUUAACCUUCGAAAGCAAUAGCUCAAAUCGAUACCUGCAGGCACUUAUGUGUAAGACCAGACAUGCUAGAAAGGGCGUUUUCAGCCCUUGCGUAUUUCCAAGCCUGUGCCCAUUUUUCAAAUAUUUCUACAUUUCUCUUAGGGCUCAGGGGUAUAUUUCAACAGGAUUGGCUAUUAAGUGGCACUUUCCUAGCACACGAGGGCAACCCUGUCUUUGGAUAGUCCAGGCAGAGUGCAUUAAAAUCUAGAAGCUUUGCCAGAAGCAGGGAUCUGGGGCGUACUCAGCUACAAGAGGGGCACCCCGCAGGCCUGGGUUUCUUUUCCCAGGUGUCUGUUGGUAUUUUCAUUCCGGCUAUUUAGUUGGUAUUUCUAACAGUGCUUCCUAGGAAGAAAACAUGAAUCACCUGAGGUCUUGUUAAAAUGCAGAUUUUGGUUCAGUAUCUCUGAGAUGGGGCCUGAGGUUCUGCAUUUUUAUCACGAUGCUGGUGUAGCUGGUUCAUGGACCCUACUUUGAUCAACGAGGCCUCCACUCCUCCAAACUAACUCCAGGACUUCCUCUCCUGAAAUAAAUCCUUUCUCUUCCUCCUCAGUCUUUCUCUGAGAUCAGGGAACACAGCAACAGUACUUGUUAUUUGUCUUGGUGUUUACAGAGCCUGGGUCUUAUCGGAUGGCUCAAUGUCUCCCAUGAGUAAGGUUUACCUUCACAAGUAGAUUCUAGGAUGUGCUUCCUUCUUCUUUUGCCUCUUCACCAUAGCAACAGUGAUGACACUGGAAGCACAAAGGCCACUACUUAUUAAAUAGAAUUGAGUUGGACUGGAAAGAAUUGGCUAUGAUCUCUUAUGCCAUGUUGGGAAUACGCUUCUUUCCAAACAGGAUUUGCAGACUCUGUGAGAGCUUUUUUGGGGAGGUUUCAUAUUUUAAAAUAUUUGGAGCAGUGCUGUUCUUUUCUCUUUCUUUUUCUUUCUUUCUUUUUUUUUUUUUUUUCUUUUUAGGGCCACACCUAUGGCAUAUGGAAGUUCCCAGGCUAGGGUCAAGAAUGGGAGCUGCACAGUGGGUUAACGAUCCGGCGUUGCCGUGAGCUGUGGUGUAGGUUGCAGACGCGGCUCAGAUCCCGCGUUGCUGUGGCUCUGGCGUAGGCCGGUGGCUACAGCUCCGAUUCAACCCCUAGCCUGGGAACCUUCAUAUGCCGCGGGAGCGGCCCAAGAAAUAGCAAUAACAACAACAACAACAACAAGAC